UGUUAGUAUAACCACAAAAAUGUAAUUUUUCCCGAUUAUGACAGAUUUUUAUUUUAUUUUUGAUUUUCUGUAAAUAGGUAAUAUGUAAAUGAUUAUUUUGUAUUCUUAAUUAUACUGUAAAAUUGUCUUUAAUUUUAAAUAUUUAGUUUGUACGCAUCCAUAUCUAGGUCAUGGUUAGGGUGGUGUGUUUCUAUGUUGCCGGGAUAUCGUCAUUGUCCUGGUGACCCGGAUAAAACGUGCAGCCAUGGAAACAGCGUGGGACCGCACUAUUUUGGCUGAGUCAACAAGGCCGCAACCCGACCCGAGCGCAACCAAAUCAAAACAUCGAUUGUGGAAUUACGUGUGUGUGUGUGUGUGUAUGGAUGUAAAAUAAACUAAACAAGCUGUUCGGGCAAUUUAGUCACAUUGGCAACGCUGCUUGAAACUGAUGGGGACCGAAGCGGUAGCAGCAUACGUUAAAAUACAAAUAUGCCCAGCCAAUCAGAGAAAUUGAGAGUGGCGCAGCACUGCUGAUCCUUUCGUGAAAGUUCGUACGUCAAAUUUCGUUGCCGAUUAGCUACGGAAAUUGUAAAUCAAGGCAUUGGUUUUGUUUAAUUUAACCUAUAUUGCAGAUUUUAUUUGCUUUACUUGCUUCCUAAUAAUUGAUUUAAUUAUCAACAAUUAUAUCAACUUUGCGACUAUUUGAGUGAAAAUUCAUAGUGUAGAGUGUUGAGUUUUUACUCCAUUAUCUAUACAAUCCAUAUCUGUGCUGGUUUUGGGCUCAAAAACAAACAAUUUAGUGUUUGAGUUUCAUUACCUUUCAAUAAACUUGCCAGUGUUUCUUAGUGCAUAAUUUCCUUCCACUUAAACCAAUAUUUGCAUUUAUCUGUUGCUGUCUGUUAGACAAUUAUGGCAUCACUAAGUCAACAAAAUGCAAUCUGUGAAGUUUAUGAUAAGGAAUUUUCCAGCACAUCUACCAGAAACAGGCAUUGGAAAAAGUUUCACCCUGAAUUUGUUGGGAAGGAACAAAUAAAACACAUUAUAUGUCCAAUGUGUACUAAUGAUAUCCAGACAUUUUCAUAUUUUAACUGUUUAAACAAAUAUUUGCUUGAUAUUCACCAUAUAACUGUCAAAGAAUCAAUUUUAAAUUUUAGGAAUUUUGAAGAAUUGACAUCUUGGAGGGCACAAGAUAAUAGAGAAGUAGAUUAUGCUUGUCAGACCCGAAACAAGUUUAAGAAUUGGGAAGAACACAUAUUUUACAAUUGCAACAGGAGCGAUAUCAGAGGAUUUAAUAGCGCGUGCAAAGUGAGAAGUCUGGGGGAAGCAUUCGCAUUCAAGGAACAUGUCAACAAAACCAAACUCAAAUAGCUAUCAGCAUAAAAUUGUAAUAGAAGCCCAUAACAAAGCCGAAAAAAUGAAUGGUAAGGUAGAAUUUUUAGAAUUUGGAAAAUUUAAAGUCAAAGUGUUUCGGUAAGUGGUAAGUUCUAUGUUGUGUCUUGUCAUGAACUAUGUGAUGAGCAAUGUCGCACUGGAUACUGUAACAUCUGUAAAAUAUGUUUUCAUAAAUACAGAUGUGAGUGUCCAGAAAAUUCUGUUAAAACAGUACUUUGUAAACAUAUACAUGCUGUAGGCUGUAGCCAUUUUUGAGCAGAGGAGCGAGUUUGUUGUAGGUUCCCCAACUGUGAGUAAAGAGGAAGAGGAUAAAGUUUUGUUUGUUGAUCAACCCACAACUAGCCAAAUCAAUUAUCAGGAGGAUGUAAACCAUUUUAUUCAGGAGAGUUCAAAAAUGAAAGUCAAUAGUUCUGCAAUGGACUUUGAAGAAAAUCGAGAAAUUGCAUUGCAAGAAAUUUGUAGCUAUGGUAGAAGUUUAGAUAAAAAUGCAUUUGCCAGAUUUAUGGCUGUAAUCAACAAAUUUAAAAAUAAAGAAGUGAACGAAGAAAAUUCUCAGGGCAUUGAAAAGAAAAGAAAAAUUGAAAAACAAAUGUACUAUCAAAAUAAAAAAUAAGCUAGAUUUCUUUGUGUUUUUAAUGGCUAGAUAAUAUUUGAAUUGUAGCUAUUUUUUUAUGUUUGUAUAGCUGUGAA
rnacentral:lncRNA from 1 species